rnacentral:misc_RNA from 1 species
AAGUCGUAACAAGGUCUCCGUAGGUGAACCUGCGGAGGGAUCAUUAACACGUAUCCAAAACGUUCAAACCCAAACCGUGCUCUUUUGUUCCCAUAGGGGGAGGUGACUCGCAAGCCACAGAUGGAUUCUUUUUCUUUCGCAAGAGAGAAGGGUCUGCUUGCAGUCUAUUGAUCCUUGAGAUCAGCCGAUUCUCUAUGGCGUAUUAAAGCCAUCUGGUUACUAGUGCCAACCCGGUUCCGACCCGGAGCCUAGUAGCCUUAUUAAACCCCAUUUUUUAACCCCUUUAUUUUAUAAAUAACUGAUUUUAACUUUUUCUAGACCGAAAGGUUUGGAUAAGUGUAUACGAAACGCGAACAACUCUUAGCAAUGGAUAUCUUGGUUCUC